rnacentral:rRNA from 1 species
AUUGAACGCUGGCGUCAUGCCUUACACAUGCAAGUCGAACGGCAGCACGGGUGCUUGCACCUGGUGGCGAGUGGCGAACGGGUGAGUAAUACAUCGGAACGUACCUUAUCGUGGGGGGUAACGCAGCGAAAGUUGCGCUAAUACCGCAUACGCCCUGAGGGGGAAAGCGGGGGACCGUAAGGCCUCGCGCGAUUAGAGCGGCCGAUGGCUGAUUAGCUAGUUGGUGAGGUAAAGACCCACCAAGGCAACGAUCAGUAGCCGGUCGGAGAGGAUGAUCUGCCACACUGGAACUGAGAGACGGUCCAGACUCCUACGGGAGGCAGCAGUGGGGAAUUUUGGACAAUGGGGGCAACGCUGAUCCAGCAAUGCCGGGUGAGUGAAGAAGGCCUUCGGGUUGUGAAGCUCUUUUGUCAGUGAAGAAAACUAUAAUAAUAACACUAUUAAAGCAUGACGGUAGCUGAAGAAUAAGGACCGGCUAACUACGUGCCAGCAGCCGCCGUAA